CAAUCUUUGACGCAAAUUGCGCUCUUGGGUAGCCCUAGGAGCACGCCUCUCUCAGUAUCGGUUCAACAACCUCUCAGCAGCGUAUGCAAAUACGUGUUCGCUGGAUAAUGAGAGUCUGACUCUUCACGAGUCAGUCUCUUUAAAUACAUGGAGUGAGCAUCACAUUCGUACACUUCGACGCAAGUCGAAGCCGGUCUCUGACUGGUUGUACGGGAGUGACGUGAAUACUGACCUUUAUGGUCUCACAUUUACGUGUAACUUUCGUCAGCUAUGAAAAGUCUAGGAUAGGUGUGUAAGAAGAGGUGCCUCAUGUUACGCGGCCUUACAGCUGCAAUCGGCUUAGAAUUUAUUCGAAGUCUGAAUUUUGAUCUGAGAUGAAGCGAGACAACCCCCUGAAUUUAAGCAUAUUAAUAAGGGGAGGAAAAGAAACUAACAAGGAUUCCCCCAGUAACGGCGAGUGAAGCGGGAAGAGCUCAAUUUGAAAAUCGACUACCUAAGCGGGUCGUCGAGUUGUAGCCUAGAGACGUACUAUCAGCUGAAACCUGGGUAUAAGUUCUUUGGAAUGAGGCAUCAUAGAGGGUGAGAAUCCCGUAUAUGACCCAAAGCUUUCAGCGUACGAUGUAUGUUCAUCGAGUCGAGUUGUUUGGGAUUGCAGCUCUAAAUGGGUGGUAGUUUCAUCUAAGCU
rnacentral:rRNA from 1 species